GACGUAGGGCGCGAGCGUUGUCCGGAAUUACUGGGCGUAAAGAGCUCGUAGGUGGUUUGUCGCGUUGUUCGUGAAAACUCACAGCUUAACUGUGGGCGUGCGGGCGAUACGGGCAGACUUGAGUACUGCAGGGGAGACUGGAAUUCCUGGUGUAGCGGUGGAAUGCGCAGAUAUCAGGAGGAACACCGGUGGCGAAGGCGGGUCUCUGGGCAGUAACUGACGCUGAGGAGCGAAAGCGUGGGGAGCAAACGGG
rnacentral:rRNA from 1 species